GACGAACGCUGGCGGCGUGCUUAAUACAUGCAAGUCGAGCGAGGCCUUGGAAUUGGAGUCCUUCGGGAUGAAGAGUCCUUGGCCUAGCGGCGGACGGGUGAGUAACGCGUGGGCAACCUACCCCAAAGUCCGGGAGUAACAGUGGGAAACCGCUGCUAAUACCGGAUGGCUUUACCUGAGGGCAUCCUUGGGUAAAGAAAGGUUACGCUUUGGGAUGGGCCCGCGUCCCAUUAGCUAGUUGGUGAGGUAACGGCUCACCAAGGCGACGAUGGGUAGCCGGCCUGAGAGGGUGAACGGCCACACUGGGACUGAGACACGGCCCAGACUCCUACGGGAGGCAGCAGUAGGGAAUAUUGCGCAAUGGGCGGAAGCCUGACGCAGCGACGCCGCGUGAGCGAAGAAGGCCUUCGGGUCGUAAAGCUCUGUCCUUGGGGAAGAAGGCGAAAGCUUGACGGUACCCAAGAAGAAAGCCCCGGCUAACUACGUG
rnacentral:rRNA from 1 species